UUUUUCUUCCACAGGUACCUUUAGAUGUUCUUACUCUGAACCAGACAGGGGCGAAACUACAGGGGGUACAGAGGUCGCAAUUGCGACUGGGCCCCCAAGUGUGGGGGCCCAGCUUCAAAAAAACAAAAAACGUUGAUCUGCCACUGCCUGCACUGAUAUCAUAUUCUUGCACCUGGGCCCUGUGGUUUCUAGUUACGCCUCUGGAACCAGAAGUUUUGGAUACAAGAUUUUCCUCCCCUGGAUAAAAGUAUUUUCUUCUCUCUUCUCUGGAUCCUUCCACAUUGGACCUCCACUGCAUUUUUUACUUUCUGUGACUCUUUGUGACUGUAUAGACUUUGGGAGUAUAUUGUUGCUUUAUAUGAGCUCAGAUUCAUUAAUUAUUUACUUUAUUGUUCUUUUUUUUUGUUAUACCUUUAUUUUGUCAUAUGCUUGACAUAUGUUUUUCACCGUUGCUUUUUAAACAUUUUACUCUAGAUUGUGAAUAACUCUGCCAGAUUGCCACAUAGUUCUAGCAAUCUUGUUCCAUUUAUUCCUUGGAUUAAAACCGUUUUUAUAUACA